rnacentral:rRNA from 1 species
UACAGAGGUCCCAAGCGUUGUUCGGAUUCAUUGGGCGUAAAGGGUGCGUAGGUGGCGCCAUAAGUCGGGUGUGAAAUCUCGGGGCUUAACUCCGAAACUGCAUUCGAUACUGUGGUGCUUGAGGACUGGAGAGGAGACUGGAAUUCAUGGUGUAGCAGUGAAAUGCGUAGAGAUCAUGAGGAAGACCAGUGGCGAAGGCGGGUCUCUGGACAGUUCCUGACACUGAGGCACGAAGGCCAGGGGAGCAAACGGG